rnacentral:rRNA from 1 species
ACGUGGGAGGCGAGCGUUGUCCGGAGUUACUGGGCGUAAAGGGUGCGUAGGCGGCCGCGCGCGUGGGGGGUGAAAUCUCCCGGCUCACCCGGGAGGGGGCUUCCCAGACGGCGCGGCUGGAGGGGCGGAGAGGGGCGUGGAAUUCCGGGUGGAGCGGUGAAAUGCGUAGAGAUCCGGAGGAACACCGACGGCGUAGGCAGCGCCCUGGCCGUCCCCUGACGCUGAGGCACGAAAGCUGGGGGAGCGAACAGGA